GCGCUCGCUUCAGCAGCACAUAUACCGAAAUUGGAACGAUACAGGGCAGGUUAGCAUGGCCCCUGCGCAAGAAUGACACGCAAAUUUGUGAAGCGUUUCACAUUAAA